rnacentral:rRNA from 1 species
GGAAUAUUGGUCAAUGGCCGAAAGGCUGAACCAGCCAAGUCGCGUGAAGGAAGAAGGAUCUAUGGUUUGUAAACUUCUUUUAUGCGGGAUUAAAGUGGGGGACGUGUCCCCCAUUGCAGGUACCGCAUGAAUAAGCAUCGGCUAACUCCGUGCCAGCAGCCGCGGUAAUACGGAGGAUGCGAGCGUUAUCCGGAUUUAUUGGGUUUAAAGGGUGCGUAGGUGGGGAUUUAAGUCAGCGGUGAAAUCUUGUCGCUUAACGAUAACAUUGCCGUUGAAACUGGAUUUCUUGAGUAUGUUUGAAGCAGGCGGAAUGCGUGGUGUAGCGGUGAAAUGCAUAGAUAUCACGCAGAACUCCGACAGCGAAGGCAGCCUGCUAAGCCAUAACUGACGCUGAAGCACGAAAGCGUGGGUAUCAAACAGGAUUAGAUACCCUGGUAGUCCACGCGGUAAACGAUGAUAACUAAGAGUCUGCGAUAGACAGCAGGUUCUACAGCGAAAGCGUUAAGUUAUCCACCUGGGGAGUACGCCGGCAACGGUGAAACUCAAAGGAAUUGACGGGGGCCCGCACAAGCGGAGGAACAUGUGGUUUAAUUCGAUGAUACGCGAGGAACCUUACCCGGGUUUGAAACGCAUUGGACGCGGGGCGAAAGCCCUGUUCCAGUAAUGGUCCAUUGCGAGGUGCUGCAUGGUUGUCGUCAGCUCGUGCCGUGAGGUGUCGGCUUAAGUGCCAUAACGAGCGCAACCCUUACCGUCAGUUGCCAUCAGGUAAAGCUGGGGACUCUGACGGGACUGCCGGCGUAAGCUGCGAGGAAGGUGUGGAUGACGUCAAAUCAGCACGGCCCUUACAUCCGGGGCGACACACGUGUUACAAUGGUGGGGACAGCGGGCUGCAAACUGGCGACAGUGAGCGAAUCCCACAAACCCCAUCUCAGUUCGGAUCGAAGUCUGCAACCCGACUUCGUGAAGCUGGAUUCGCUAGUAAUCGCGCAUCA